rnacentral:rRNA from 1 species
ACUCCUACGGGAGGCAGCAGUGGGGAAUAUUGGACAAUGGGGGCAACCCUGAUCCAGCAAUGCCGCGUGAGUGAUGAAGGCCUUCGGGUUGUAAAGCUCUUUUGGCGGGGACGAUGAUGACGGUACCCGCAGAAUAAGCCCCGGCUAACUUCGUGCCAGCAGCCGCGGUAAUACGAAGGGGGCUAGCGUUGUUCGGAAUUACUGGGCGUAAAGGGCGCGUAGGCGGUCCUGAUCGUCGGAUGUGAAAGGCCUGGGCUCAACCUCGGAAUUGCCUUCGAUACUGGACAUCUUGAGUUCGGGAGAGGUGAGUGGAAUGCCGAGUGUAGAGGUGAAAUUCGUAGAUAUUCGGCGGAACACCAGUGGCGAAGGCGACUCACUGGCCCGAUACUGACGCUGAGGCGCGAAAGCGUGGGGAGCAAACAGGAUUAGAUACCCUGGUAGUCCACGCUGUAAACGAUGAGUGCUAGUUGUCGGCAUGCAUGCAUGUCGGUGACGCAGCUAACGCAUUAAGCACUCCGCCUGGGGAGUACGGUCGCAAGAUUAAAACUCAAAGGAAUUGACG